AACGAACGCUGGCGGCAUGCCUAACACACGCAAGUCGAACGAGACCUUCGGGUCUAGUGGCGCACGGGUGCGUAACGCAUGGGAACCUGCCCUUAGGUUCGGAAUAACUCCCCGAAAGGGGUGCUAAUACCGGAUAAUGUCUUCGGACCAAAGAUUUAUCGCCUUUGGAUGGGCCCGCGUUGGAUUAGCUUGUUGGUAGGGUAAAAGCCUACCAAGGCGACGAUCCAUAGCUGGUCUGAGAGGAUGAUCAGCCACACUGGGACUGAGACACGGCCCAGACUCCUACGGGAGGCAGCAGUGGGGAAUAUUGGACAAUGGGCGAAAGCCUGAUCCAGCAAUGCCGCGUGAGUGAUGAAGGCCUUAGGGUUGUAAAGCUCUUUUACCCGGGAUGAUAAUGACAGUACCGGGAGAAUAAGCUCCGGCUAACUCCGUG
rnacentral:rRNA from 1 species